GAUGAACGCUGGCGGCGUGCCUAAUACAUGCAAGUCGAGCGAACAGACGAGGAGCUUGCUCCUCUGACGUUACCGGCGGACGGGUGAGUAAUACGUGGAUAACCUACCUAUAAGACUGGGAUAACUUCGGGAAACCGGAGCUAAUACCGGAUAAUAUAUUGAACCGCAGGGUUCAUUAGUGAAAGACGGUUUUGCUGUCACUUAUAGAUGGAUCCUCGCCGCAUUAGCUAGUUGCUAAGGUAACGGAUUACCAAUGCAACGAUGCGUAGCCGACCUGAGAGGAUGAUCAGCCACACUGGAACUGAGACACGGUCCAGACUCCUACGGGAGGCAGCAGUAGGGAAUCUUCCACAAUGGGCGAAAGCCUGACGGAGCAACGCCGCGUGAGUGAUGAAGGUCUUCGGAUCGUAAAACUCUGUUAUUAGGGAAGAACAAAUGUGUAAGUAACUAUGCACGUCUUGACGGUACCUAAUCAGAAAGCCACGGCUAACUACGUG
rnacentral:rRNA from 1 species